UACGUAGGGGGCUAGCGUUGUCCGGAAUCAUUGGGCGUAAAGCGCGUGUAGGCGGCCCGGUAAGUCCGCUGUGAAAGUCGGGGGGCUCAACCCUCGGAUGCCGGUGGAUACUGUCGGGCUGGAGUGCGGAAGAGGCGAGUGGAAUUCCUGGUGUAGCGGUGAAAUGCGCAGAUAUCAGGAAGAACACCCGUGGCGAAGGCGGCUCUCUGGGACGGUACUGACGCUGAGACGCGAAAGCGUGGGGAGCGAACAGG
rnacentral:rRNA from 1 species